AACGAACGCUGGCGGCAUGCCUAACACAUGCAAGUCGAACGAGAUCUUCGGGUCUAGUGGCGCACGGGUGCGUAACGCGUGGGAAUCUGCCCUUUGGUUCGGAAUAACAGUUGGAAACGACUGCUAAUACCGGAUGAUGACGAAAGUCCAAAGAUUUAUCGCCAGAGGAUGAGCCCGCGUAGGAUUAGCUAGUUGGUGUGGUAAAGGCGCACCAAGGCGACGAUCCUUAGCUGGUCUGAGAGGAUGAUCAGCCACACUGGGUCUGAGACACGGCCCAGACUCCUACGGGAGGCAGCAGUGGGGAAUAUUGGACAAUGGGCGAAAGCUUGAUCCAGCAAUGCCGCGUGAGUGAUGAAGGCCUUAGGGUUGUAAAGCUCUUUUACCCGGGAUGAUAAUGACAGUACCGGGAGAAUAAGCUCCGGCUAACUCCGUGCCAGCCGCCGCAGUAA
rnacentral:rRNA from 1 species